GACGUAGGGCGCGAGCGUUGUCCGGAUUUAUUGGGCGUAAAGAGCUCGUAGGCGGCUUGUCGCGUCGUCCGUGAAAACUUGGGGCUCAACCCCAAGCUUGCGGUCGAUACGGGCAGGCUAGAGUUCGGUAGGGGAGACUGGAAUUCCUGGUGUAGCGGUGAAAUGCGCAGAUAUCAGGAGGAACACCGAUGGCGAAGGCAGCUCACUGGGACGGUACUGACGCUGAGACGCGAAAGCGUGGGGAGCAAACAGG
rnacentral:rRNA from 1 species